rnacentral:rRNA from 1 species
GAUGAACGCUGGCGGCGUGCCUAAUACAUGCAAGUCGAGCGAACAGACGAGGAGCUUGCUCCUUUGACGUUAGCGGCGGACGGGUGAGUAACACGUGGGUAACCUACCUAUAAGACUGGGAUAACUUCGGGAAACCGGAGCUAAUACCGGAUAAUAUUUCGAACCGCAUGGUUCGAUAGUGAAAGAUGGCUUUGCUAUCACUUAUAGAUGGACCUGCGCCGUAUUAGCUAGUUGGUAAGGUAACGGCUUACCAAGGCAACGAUACGUAGCCGGCCUGAGAGGGUGAUCGGCCACACUGGAACUGAGACACGGUCCAGACUCCUACGGGAGGCAGCAGUAGGGAAUCUUCCGCAAUGGGCGAAAGCCUGACGGAGCAACGCCGCGUGAGUGAUGAAGGUCUUCGGAUCGUAAAACUCUGUUAUUAGGGAAGAACAAACGUGUAAGUAACUGUGCACGUCUUGACGGUACCUAAUCAGAAAGCCACGGCUAACUACGUG